rnacentral:rRNA from 1 species
GAGUUUGAUCAUGGCUCAGGAUGAACGCUGGCGGCGUGCUUAACACAUGCAAGUCGAACGAUGACCCCGUGCUUGCACGGGUGAUUAGUGGCGAACGGGUGAGUAACGCGUGAGUAACCUGCCCCCGACUUUGGGAUAAGCCCGGGAAACUGGGUCUAAUACCGGAUAUGACUUCUUACCGCAUGAUGGGUUGUUGAAAGAUUUAUCGGUGGGGGAUGGACUCGCGGCCUAUCAGCUUGUUGGUGAGGUAAUGGCUCACCAAGGCGACGACGGGUAGCCGGCCUGAGAGGGUGACCGGCCACACUGGGACUGAGACACGGCCCAGACUCCUACGGGAGGCAGCAGUGGGGAAUAUUGCACAAUGGGCGAAAGCCUGAUGCAGCGACGCCGCGUGAGGGAUGACGGCCUUCGGGUUGUAAACCUCUUUCAGUAGGGAAGAAGCGAAAGUGACGGUACCUGCAGAAGAAGCGCCGGCUAACUACGUGCCAGCAGCCGCGGUAAUACGUAGGGCGCAAGCGUUAUCCGGAUUUAUUGGGCGUAAAGAGCUCGUAGGCGGUUUGUCGCGUCUGCCGUGAAAGUCCGAGGCUCAACCUCGGAUCUGCGGUGGGUACGGGCAGACUAGAGUGAUGUAGGGGAGACUGGAAUUCCUGGUGUAGCGGUGAAAUGCGCAGAUAUCAGGAGGAACACCGAUGGCGAAGGCAGGUCUCUGGGCAUUUACUGACGCUGAGGAGCGAAAGCAUGGGGAGCGAACAGGAUUAGAUACCCUGGUAGUCCAUGCCGUAAACGUUGGGCACUAGGUGUGGGGGACAUUCCACGUUUUCCGCGCCGUAGCUAACGCAUUAAGUGCCCCGCCUGGGGAGUACGGCCGCAGGGCUAAAACUCAAAGGAAUUGACGGGGGCCCGCACAAGCGGCGGAGCGUGCGGAU